UAAGGAAUAUUGGUCAAUGGACGCAAGUCUGACCCAGCCAUGCCGCGUGAGGAUGAAGGUCCUCUGGAUUGUAAACUUCUUUUAUCUGGGACGAAAUCACUUUUUUCUAAGAGUGUUGACGGUACCAGAGGAAUAAGCACCGGCUAACUCCAUG
rnacentral:rRNA from 1 species